CGGCGAGUGAAGCGGCAACAGCUCAAAUUUGAAAUCUGGCCCUUUUGGGUCCGAGUUGUAAUUUGUAGAGGAUGCUUUUGGCAAGGUGCCGCCCGAGUUCCCUGGAACGGGACGCCACAGAGGGUGAGAGCCCCGUCUGGCUGGCCACCGAGCCUCUGUAAAGCUCCUUCGACGAGUCGAGUAGUUUGGGAAUGCUGCUCAAAAUGGGAGGUAUAUGUCUUCUAAAGCUAAAUAUUGGCCAGAGACCGAUAGCGCACAAGUAGAGUGAUCGAAAGAUGAAAAGCACCUUGAAAAGAGGGUUAAAUAGUACGUGAAAUUGUUGAAAGGGAAGCGCUUGUGACCAGACUUGGGCGCGGCGGAUCAUCCGGGGUUCUCCCCGGUGCACUUCGCCGUGUCCAGGCCAGCAUCAGUUCGUCGCGGGGGAAAAAGGCUUCGGGAACGUGGCUCCCCUGGGAGUGUUAUAGCCCGUUGCAUAAUACCCUGCGGUGGACUGAGGACCGCGCAUCUGCAAGGAUGCUGGCGUAAUGGUCACCAGCGACCCGUCUUGAAACACGGACCAAGGAGUCGUCUUCGUAUGCGAGUGUUCGGGUGUCAAACCCCUACGCGUAAUGAAAGUGAACGCAGGUGAGAGCUUCGGCGCAUCAUCGACCGAUCCUGAUGUUCUCGGAUGGAUUUGAGUAAGAGCAUACGGGGCCGGACCCGAAAGAAGGUGAACUAUGCCUGUAUAGGGUGAAGCCAGAGGAAACUCUGGUGGAGGCUCGCAGCGGUUCUGACGUGCAAAUCGAUCGUCAAAUAUGGGCAUGGGGGCGAAAGACUAAUCGAACCUUCUAGUAGCUGGUUUCCGC
rnacentral:rRNA from 1 species